rnacentral:rRNA from 1 species
GGGUAACCUGCCCAAGAGAUCGGGGUAACAACCUGGAAACAGAUGCUAAUACCGGAUAACAACAGAUGAUGCCUAUCAACUGUUUAAAAGAUGGUUCUGCUAUCACUCUUGGAUGGACCUGCGGUGCAUUAGCUAGUUGGUAGGGUAACGGCCUACCAAGGCGAUGAUGCAUAGCCGAGUUGAGAGACUGAUCGGCCACAUUGGGACUGAGACACGGCCCAAACUCCUACGGGAGGCAGCAGUU